AUUGAACGCUGGCGGCAGGCCUAACACAUGCAAGUCGAACGAGUGGCGGACGGGUGAGUAAUGUCUGGGAAACUGCCCGAUGGAGGGGGAUAACUACUGGAAACGGUAGCUAAUACCGCAUACCAUCGGAUGUGCCCAGAUGGGAUUAGGUAGUAGGUGGGGUAAAGGCUCACCUAGGCGACGAUCCCUAGCUGGUCUGAGAGGAUGACCAGCCACCAGGGAAAGGCGACCAGGUCCAUACUCCGACGGGAGGAAGCCGUGGGGAAGUUUGGACAAUGGGGGCAAGCCUGAUGCAGCCCUGCCGGGUGUAUGAAGAAGGCCGUCGGGUUGUAAAGGACUUUCAGCGGGGAGGCGUUACCCGCAGAAGAAGGACCGGCUAACUCCGUGCCAGCAGCCGCGGUAAUAC
rnacentral:rRNA from 1 species